rnacentral:rRNA from 1 species
UUUAUGGAGAGUUUGAUCGUGGCUCAGGAUGAACGCUGGCGGCGUGCCUAAUACAUGCAAGUCGAACGGGAACCCUUGGAUUCGUCUGAGGGGGAGAGUGGCGAACUGGUGAGUAACACGUAGGUGACCUGCCCUGAAGAUGGGGAUAACCGCUGGAAACGGUGGCUAAUACCCAAUGUGCUCAGUGAUUCGGUUCAUUGAGUAAAGGCUCCGGCGCUUCAGGAUGGGCCUGCGGCCUAUCAGCUAGUUGGUAGGGUAAUGGCCUACCAAGGCGAAGACGGGUAGGGGGCGUGAGAGCGCGGCCCCCCACACUGGCACUGAGACACGGGCCAGACUCCUACGGGAGGCAGCAGUCGGGGAUAUUGCACAAUCGGCGCAAGCCGGAUGCAGCGACGCCGCGUGGGCGAAGAAGGCCUUCGGGUUGUAAAGCCCUUUUCUGGGGGAAGAGAUCAGGACGGUACCCUGGGAAUAAGUCCCGGCUAACUACGUGCCAGCAGCCGCGGUAAAACGUAGGGGACAAGCGUUAUCCGGAUUUACUGGGCGUAAAGAGCGUUGAGGCGGUUUCGUAAGUUGGGCGUGAAAGCUCCGGGCUCAACCCGGAGACGCCGUUCAAUACUGCGAGACUUGAGGGCAGCAGAGGGAGGUGGAAUUCCCGGUGGAGCGGUGAAAUGCGUAGAUAUCGGGAGGAACACCAGUGGCGAAGGCGGCCUCCUGGGCUGUUCCUGACGCUGAAGGCGAAAGCUAGGGG